rnacentral:rRNA from 1 species
GAGUUUGAUCGUGGCUCAGAUUGAACGCUGGCGGCAGGCCUAACACAUGCAAGUCGAGCGGUAGAGAGAAGCUUGCUUCUCUUGGAGAGCGGCGGACGGGUGAGUAAUGCCUAGGAAUCUGCCUGGUAGUGGGGGAUAACGCUCGGAAACGGACGCUAAUACCGCAUACGUCCUACGGGAGAAAGCAGGGGACCUUCGGGCCUUGCGCUAUCAGAUGAGCCUAGGUCGGAUUAGCUAGUUGGUGAGGUAAUGGCUCACCAAGGCGACGAUCCGUAACUGGUCUGAGAGGAUGGAUCAGUCACACUGGAA